rnacentral:rRNA from 1 species
CAAAGGCCCGAGGCUCAACUUCGGAAAGGCAGUGGAAACUGAAAAGCUAGAGGUCGGUAGGGGCAGAGGGAAUUCCCAGUGUAGCGGUGAAAUGCGUAGAUAUUGGGAAGAACACCGGUGGCGAAAGCGCUCUGCUGGGCCGAACCUGACGCUGAGGGACGAAAGCUAGGGGAGCGAAUGGGAUUAGAUACCCCAGUAGUCCUAGCCGUAAACGAUGGAGACUAGGUGUUGCCUGUAUCGACCCGGGCAGUGCCGAAGCCAACGCGUUAAGUCUCCCGCCUGGGGAGUACGCACGCAAGUGUGAAACUCAAAGGAAUUGACGGGGGCCCGCACAAGCGGUGGAGUAUGUGGUUUAAUUCGAUGCAACGCGAAGAACCUUACCAGGGCUUGACAUCCCGCGAAUCUCGGCGAAAGUUGAGAGUGCCUACGGGAACGCGGAGACAGGUGGUGCAUGGCUGUCGUCAGCUCGUGUCGUGAGAUGUUGGGUUAAGUCCCGCAACGAGCGCAACCCUCGUCCUUAGUUGCCAUCCUUAAGUGGGGCACUCUAGGGAGACUGCCGGUGAUAAACCGGAGGAAGGUGGGGAUGACGUCAAGUCAUCAUGCCCCAUAUGUCCUGGGCGACACACGUACUACAAUGGUCGGGACAGCGAGCAGCCAACUUGCGAAAGUGAGCUAAUCUCUCAAACCCGGCCUCAGUUCAGAUUGCAGGCUGCAACUCGCCUGCAUGAAGGAGGAAUCGCUAGUAAUCGCAGGUCAGCAUACUGCGGUGAAUCCGUUCCCGGGCCUUGUACACACCGCCCGUCACACCAUGGAAGUCGGCCAUGCCCGAAGUCAUUACUCUAA